AUACAUUAUGUCCUGAUUCAGGAAUAAUAAGAAAUUACAUCUCACAUAAUACGCAUGAAGUAAAUCCAGCUUCAACCUCCUUUUUGAUCGCCCAGGUCCAUCAGGAGAUGAGAAGGGUGGAAAGGCGUAAGAAAGCACCUCCAGGGUCCUGGAGGAUGCAAAUGCAGAGCAACAUACCAACUAAAAAAACUAGGCUUAUUUCAGCAGACUUUCUAAUAUAGAGUUGUCAUACGUGCACCAAGGACUGGCAAUGAAAGAUCCGUUUCUGACACAGUACCAUUUGUCCCAUCAAAGACAGUCCUGUGGUAUUAAGGUUAUUACGCCCGGAGAACCAAGACCCAGCUGGCACCACUAAAUUUAGCAGAACAUGAGGCCACGUGGGAAUUUCUUACAGAUGGCAGUCAUCUCAUCUGCACUGGAAAAGAUGAUAUCUUCCACUGCAUUUCUUAAAAAGUCACUAGCUUGAAUGUCGACUGAGGCUGUGAUGAAUUACGAAUCCAUAAAACCAAGAGGGCACCAGUGAACUGGCAGGACUGUGCGAAUAAAACAGCAGAGCUGGUACCAACUUGAUCUCCCGUCCUCGGGAAUGGAAGAACUGCCUGUUUCAGGCGCAUUCAACACUUCCAUUUAUAAGGCCCUGUUUUUAGAAGCUCCUACCUUUAAUUAUUUGAACUGCUCUUUCCAUUUUGGACUUCUACCCCAGGUACCACCUUUCC